CACUCGGCCCUCCGUGGAACCGGUUUGACACCUGUGGUCUAUGGUGCAGGACAUCCUGGGUUGCAUCCAUCCGAUUCAGGAGGUAGAUGGACCAGGAUAAGAAGCAUGAAGAACAGGUUCCACACUAACUGUUGAUCAGCCUGUAGCUGGUCUACAGGCACUGUUGGAGAGCUCUGACGUUGCAGACUACCAAAGGACAGACAAGGCCCAUUGCAACAAUUCUGGGAC